UUCGCAUGGACGUGUCUGACGGAGCACGCCGCGUGAGUGAUGAAGGUUUUCGGAUCGUAAAACUCUGUUGUUAGGGAAGAACAAGUACCGUUCGAAUAGGGCGGCACCUUGACGGUACCUAACCAGAAAGCCACGGCUAACUACGUGCCAGCAGCCGCGGUAAUACGUAGGUGGCAAGCGUUGUCCGGAAUUAUUGGGCGUAAAGCGCGCGCAGGCGGUUUCUUAAGUCUGAUGUGAAAGCCCCCGGCUCAACCGGGGAGGGUCAUUGGAAACUGGGGAACUUGAGUGCAGAAGAGGAGAGUGGAAUUCCACGUGUAGCGGUGAAAUGCGUAGAGAUGUGGAGGAACACCAGUGGCGAAGGCGACUCUCUGGUCUGUAACUGACGCUGAGGCGCGAAAGCGUGGGGAGCGAACAGGAUUAGAUACCCUGGUAGUCCACGCCGUAAACGAUGAGUGCUAAGUGUUAGAGGGUUUCCGCCCUUUAGUGCUGCAGCAAACGCAUUAAGCACUCCGCCUGGGGAGUACGGUCGCAAGACUGAAACUCAAAGGAAUUGACGGGGGCCCGCACAAGCGGUGGAGCAUGUGGUUUAAUUCGAAGCAACGCGAAGAACCUUACCAGGUCUUGACAUCCUCUGACAACCCUAGAGAUAGGGCUUCCCCUUCGGGGGCAGAGUGACAGGUGGUGCAUGGUUGUCGUCAGCUCGUGUCGUGAGAUGUUGGGUUAAGUCCCGCAACGAGCGCAACCCUUGAUCUUAGUUGCCAGCAUUCAGUUGGGCACUCUAAGGUGACUGCCGGUGACAAACCGGAGGAAGGUGGGGAUGACGUCAAAUCAUCAUGCCCCUUA
rnacentral:rRNA from 1 species